rnacentral:rRNA from 1 species
GAUAAACGCUGGCGGCGUGCAUAACACAUGCAAGUCGAACGAUGAAACUUAGAUGAUUUCUUCGGAAUGAACUUAAGUGGAUUAGUGGCGAACGGGUGAGUAACACGUGAGUAACCUGCCUUACACAAGGGGAUAGCCUCUGGAAACGGAGAAUAAUGCCCUAUAAAGUCUAAUCAGCACAUGCUGGAAAGACCAAAGAUUUAUCGGUGUAAGAUGGACUUGCGUCUGAUUAGCUAGUUGGUGAGAUAAAAGCUCACCAAGGCGACGAUCAGUAGCCGGCUUGAGAGAGUGUACGGCAACAGUGGGACUGAGACACGGCCCAAACUCCUACGGGAGGCAGCAGUGGGGAAUUUUGCACAAUGGGGGAAACCCUGAUGCAGCGACGCCGCGUGAUUUAGAAGGCCUUCGGGUUGUAAAAAUCUUUUUUACGGGAUGAAAAUGACAGUACCGUAAGGAUAAGGUCCGGCUAAAUACGUGCCAGCAGCCGCGGUAA